UUUACGUGAUGAAUUAAAUUAUCACCAUCUUUCGAAUGACAACGAUGAUUUUGAAUAAUUUCCCACUGAUACAAUCA
rnacentral:snoRNA from 1 species